rnacentral:rRNA from 1 species
GUGAGGAAUAUUGGACAAUGGGCGCAAGCCUGAUCCAGCCAUGCCACGUGCAGGAAGACGCAUCUAUGGUGUGUAAACUGCUUUUGUACGGGAAGAAACACUCCCUCGUGAGGGAGCUUGACGGUACCGUAAGAAUAAGGAUCGGCUAACUCCGUGCCAGCAGCCGCGGUAAUACGGAGGAUCCAAGCGUUAUCCGGAAUCAUUGGGUUUAAAGGGUCCGUAGGCGGUUUAAUAAGUCAGUGGUGAAAGCCCAUCGCUCAACGAUGGAACGGCCAUUGAUACUGUUAGACUUGAAUUACAAGGAAGUAACUAGAAUAUGUAGUGUAGCGGUGAAAUGCUUAGAUAUUACAUGGAAUACCAAUUGCGAAGGCAGGUUACUACUUGUGGAUUGACGCUGAUGGACGAAAGCGUGGGGAGCGAACAGGAUUAGAAACCCCUGUAGUCC